CACGUAGGGUGCGAGCGUUGUCCGGAAUUAUUGGGCGUAAAGAGCUCGUAGGCGGUGUGUCGCGUCGGCCGUGAAAACCUGCAGCUUAACUGUGGGCUUGCGGUCGAUACGGGCAUCACUGGAGUUCGGCAGGGGAGACUGGAAUUCCUGGUGUAGCGGUGAAAUGCGCAGAUAUCAGGAGGAACACCAAUUGGCGAAGGCAGCUCGCUGGGACGUUACUGA
rnacentral:rRNA from 1 species